GAAACCUGCUGAAGCCGACGCCCCCUUCUCCGGCACUUGCUUCGGAAGGUGAGGAGGAAAUAGGCAAGGAGAGGAGGGACUCAGAAAGCGGGAAGACCGGGAUAACACCGACAGCGGCUGAGCUGGCUCGUGCUCGUUCAUGUCAGGCCCCAAGUGCUGCUGUUGCAGCUGAAGCAGCUGCAUAUGGAGAAGAUCACCUGCUAGUGCCUCUUCGUAUUUCGGGGCAUCGGAAACAAGACUUGCAGUUGGCAUGUCCUCGCGCACCUGGUUGUCAUACUGAAGCCUUGGGCGUGGGAGAGAAAGUCGUGGUAGCGUGGGAACAUCCAGUCGACUGGGGCUCUCUCCACUGUAUACGUGCCGCCCUUGUGCAGAAUACCUAUCAGGAAAAGGAUGCCGACGGUCACCCGGGCUCAACCUGCGCCCCAUGUCGCCACGGCUUUGCUGUCGUGUCUCUCUCAAUCUUCUCAGUGCUUCGUUCACCUCGGAAAUCGUGCUGCCGUCUUGUUGCGUGCCAGAGGAUACCGACACCAAUGACGGCAAUGCAGGGUGGGAACUGCACAAUUUAAAGCGUUGAUCACCUAAGCCGCCGUGUCCUCGUUCCCGACCCUGGUAGAGUUGUUGUCGGUGAGGAGAACUUGCGUUAUGAUGCAACCCUGAUGGCAGCGAGGGUGGACGACUUAACGAGAACGCGGUUAUUUUUGUCGGACGCUGUCCCGGGGAACACGAUGAAGGAUCUGGCUGAUAUGCUGCAUCAUGAACAACGAGUUGGCGAUCGCCGUGACUGCAGAG
rnacentral:lncRNA from 1 species